CCCUUAGAUGUUCUGGGCGGCCCGCGCACUACAAUGGCGUGUGCAGCGAGUGCCGAAGUAGAGUUUUCCGAGGUAUUCUUGCAAUGCUCGUUUUGAUGGGGAUAGACCCUUGCAACUGUUGGUUUUGAACGAGGAAUUCCUUGUAAGCAUGGUUUAUCAUCCGACGCUGAAUGCGUCCCUGCCCUUUGUACACACCGCCCGUCGCUACUACCGAUUGAACGGUUUAGUGAGGGCCUCGGAUUGGUCUCGGCCCGCUCUUUACCGGGCGGCGCCGUUGGUCGAGAAGACGCUCGAACUUGAUCGUUUAGAGGAAGUAAAAGUCGUAACA
rnacentral:rRNA from 1 species